rnacentral:rRNA from 1 species
UACAGAGGUGGCAAGCGUUGCUCGGUAUCACUGGGCUUAAAGGGCGCGUAGGCGGUGCGGUACGGUUUCGGUGAAAUCCCUCGGCUUAACCGAGGAACUGCCUUCCAGACUGCUUUGCUUGAGGCCGGGAGAGGCGAGUGGAAUUCCCAGUGUAGCGGUGAAAUGCGUAGAUAUCGGGAGGAACACCAGUGGCGAAGGCGACUUCCUGGCCUGUUCUUGACGCUGAGGCGCGAAAGCUAGGGGAGCAAACGGG